GUUUUGCUUAAAAAGUUUGAGCACAUGCAUCACUUUGCGUGAGAAAAGGGUGCCGGUUUCACUGGGUGUGGAUGUGAGGGCGGCUCUUAGCGAGCGCCGAUUCACUAAUGAUCCUUCCGCAGGUUCACCUACGGAAA
rnacentral:misc_RNA from 1 species